CUCCUACUCCUAAACCACCAGUUCAUAAACCACCAAGAUAUCCUCCUAAACCAUCACCUUGUCCACCCCCAUCAUCAACACCAAAACCACCUCAUCAUCCCAAACCCCCAGCAGUACACCCACCACAUGUUCCAAAACCACAUCCACCUUAUGUUCCAAAACCACCAAUUGUUAAACCUCCAAUAGUACAUCCACCUUACGUACCAAAACCCCCAGUUGUGAAACCACCACCAUAUGUCCCUAAACCACCUGUUGUGAGACCACCCUAUGUUCCUAAACCACCAGUUGUACCUGUAACACCACCUUAUGUUCCUAAGCCACCAAUUGUUUUCCCACCACAUGUUCCUCUACCUCCAGUUGUACCAUCACCACCACCUUAUGUACCAACACCUCCAAUUGUGAAACCACCAAUUGUUUUUCCACCACAUGUUCCUCUACCUCCAGUUGUGCCUGUAACACCACCUUAUGUGCAACCACCACCUAUUGUAACUCCACCAACACCAACACCUCCAAUUGUGACACCACCAACACCACCUAGUGAAACACCUUGUCCUCCACCACCACUUGUACCUUAUCCACCACCACCAGCACAACAAACAUGUUCCAUUGAUGCUUUGAAGUUGGGUGCAUGUGUUGAUGUGCUUGGUGGACUCAUACAUAUUGGUAUAGGUGGAAGUG
rnacentral:lncRNA from 1 species